AAAGUACUCCCUCCGUCCCAAAAUUCUUGUCUUAGAUUUGUCUAGAUACGGAUGUAUCAAGUCACAUUUUAGUACUAUAUACAUCUGUAUCUAGACAAAUCUAAGACAAGAAAUUUGGGACAGAGGGAGUAGUUG
rfam:Triticum aestivum genome assembly, contig: Triticum_aestivum_CS42_TGACv1_scaffold_591793_7BS